CCUUAACACAGAGGCCCCUUGCCUGCAGCUGGAGGCAGCUCUCUGUUCAGCCCCAGUGCAGAGUGACACAGACAGGCGACAGCGUCGCUGAGCACUAACUUCUAUUCCACCGAGGCAGACAGCGAAAACCAUUUCAGAAUCAUGGCAAGGCAUGAGAGAAGCACAGGGUAGCUGCAAAGUUUUGGACAAGAGCUCACAACAACUGGAAGCACAGUGUACCCAAGUGGUGGGUCUCGUCUGUGGCAAUAUAUUUUUUUGCCUGUCCAAUUGAAUAUGGCUGUAAAGGGAAUAAAACCCCAUGUAAUCUCCAGCAGUGACAAUUUAAUCAGUUUUGUAAGGGGAAAACAGCAGAGUCCCCUCAUUUUCAUAUUUGCAUAUUUGAUUUUUGCAUUGGGGAAUAGAGGUUUUGUUUUUCUAUUACUUUGCAUUCAAUUUUAAUAUUUAAUCUUUUAUGAGCAAAUUUUUACAGUGGUGUGAAAUACUGAGUCAGACAGGUCUAAAACAGAAAGGAAAUACUCCAUUUCUGAAAUUAAGCCCCUGAUGCAAUAUGCUUUGUGUAACAUUUUCCCCUGUAAAGAAUCUAUGUGCCUAACAUGGCUUGCAUGCUCCUAGCUUUUGCACGUGAUACAUCUGCUAUUAACAUUCAGAGAUCCACCCUGAAAAUGAGGGCAACUGUUUGGAAAACAAUGCAAUAUGAUGAGAAUAGACUAUAAUAUGACGCCCUUUUUAUAUUAAUAUUUCUUAAAAUGGUAAAUCUUAUCGAUUGCAUCUAUGUCUAAGGAAGUGGGGUUUCUUAAAUGCUUUAUAUACACAGAAGCCAGUUUUUAUGAGUUAUAGAGGAGAAGUAAAUACAGUAAGAUUAAUACAACUUCAUUGUUUUUACAAUUGACAGAAUGAUAUUAUUGCCUAUAGGAUAAUAACAGCUUAUGGGAUUGAUUUUAAGAUGAAUAAGAUGCAAGUAAUUUGAACUCAUCAUCAACAACCCUUGUGUUACUCCCAUGAGUAUAUUAAAAUAUCUAGUCAAAAUGGUGUUGAAUUUGAAUUACUGGAACAUAGAUGCUGUUUUUACGCAUCAAUGCAUGCUAGCCCCCACUUGUGAAAACCCCAAAAGUAUGUUGGAUAAUU